AUACGUAGGGUGCGAGCGUUGUCCGGAAUUACUGGGCGCAAAGAGCUCGUAGGUGGUUUGUCGCGUCGUCUGUGAAAUUCCGGGGCUUAACUCCGGGCGUGCAGGCGAUACGGGCAUAACUUGAGUACUGUAGGGGAGACUGGAAUUCCUGGUGUAGCGGUGAAAUGCGCAGAUAUCAGGAGGAACACCGGUGGCGAAGGCGGGUCUCUGGGCAGUAACUGACGCUGAGGAGCGAAAGCAUGGGUAGCGAACAGGAUUAGAUCCCCUGGUAGUCCAUGCCGUAAACGGUGGGCGCUAGGUGUAGGGGUCUUCCACGACUUCUGUGCCGUAGCUAACGCAUUAAGCGCCCCGCCUGGGGAGUACGGCCGCAAGGCUAAAACUCAAAGGAAUUGACGGGG
rnacentral:rRNA from 1 species